rnacentral:rRNA from 2 species
GGGGAAUAUUGGGCAAUGGGCGAAAGCCUGACCCAGCAACGCCGCGUGAGGGAAGAAGGUCUUCGGAUUGUAAACCUUUGUCCUAUGGGACGAAACAAAUGACGGUACCAUAGGAGGAAGCUCCGGCUAACUACGUGCCAGCAGCCGCGGUAAUACGUAGGGAGCAAGCGUUGUCCGGAAUUACUGGGCGUAAAGGGUGCGUAGGUGGCCAAAUAAGUCAGGUGUGAAAGACCGGGGCUCAACCCCGGGGUUGCACUUGAAACUGUAUGGCUUGAGUACAGGAGAGGGAAGUGGAAUUCCUAGUGUAGCGGUGAAAUGCGUAGAUAUUAGGAGGAACACCAGUGGCGAAGGCGACUUUCUGGACUGUAACUGACACUGAGGCACGAAAGCGUGGGGAGCAAACA